rnacentral:rRNA from 1 species
GAUGAACGCUGGCGGCGUGCCUAAUACAUGCAAGUCGAGCGACCAGACGGUGAGCUUGUUCUCUUGCCGUUAGCGGGGGACGGGCGAGUAACGAGUGGAUAACCUACCUCUUAGUCUGGGGUGACUUCGGGAAAACGGUGACACUAAUGGCUCAUACAUUGAACCGCAUGAAUCAAUAGUGCUUGAGGGCUUUGCCGUCUCUUAUAGAUGGUGCCGGGUCGCAUUAGCUAGUUGGUAAGGUAACGGCUUACCAAGGCUACGAUGCGUAGCCGACCUGAGAGGAUGAUCAGCCACACUGGAACUGAGACACGGUCCAGACUCCUACGGGAGGCAGCAGUAGGGAAUCUUCCACAAUGGGCGAAAGCUUGACGCAGCAACGCCGCGUGAGUGAAGAAGGUCUUCGGGUCGUAAAGCCCUGUUGUUGGGGAAGAACAAAAGUAGGAGUAUCCCUGGACGUCUUGACGGUACCUAAAGAGUAAGCACCGGCUAACUACGUG